rnacentral:rRNA from 2 species
GAUGCGGUCGUAACGAGUUCUCGUUGAUGCUCGGUGCUUGCACCGAGAUUCAACAUGGGACGAGUGGCGGACGGGGGAGUAACACGUGGGUAACCUGCCCUUAAGUGGGGGAUAACAUUUGGAAACAGAUGCUAAUACCGCAUAGAUCCAAGAACCGCAUGGUUCUUGGCUGAAAGAUGGCGUAAGCUAUCGCUUUUGGAUGGACCCGCGGCGUAUUAGCUAGUUGGUGAGGUAAUGGCUCACCAAGGCGAUGAUACGUAGCCGAACUGAGAGGUUGAUCGGCCACAUUGGGACUGAGACACGGCCCAAACUCCUACGGGAGGCAGCAGUAGGGAAUCUUCCACAAUGGACGCAAGUCUGAUGGAGCAACGCCGCGUGAGUGAAGAAGGCUUUCGGGUCGUAAAACUCUGUUGUUGGAGAAGAAUGGUCGGCAGAGUAACUGUUGUCGGCGUGACGGUAUCCAACCAGAAAGCCACGGCUAACUACGUGCCAGCAGCCGCGGUAAUACGUAGGUGGCAAGCGUUAUCCGGAUUUAUUGGGCGUAAAGCGAGCGCAGGCGGUUUUUUAAGUCUGAUGUGAAAGCCCUCGGCUUAACCGAGGAAGCGCAUCGGAAACUGGGAAACUUGAGUGCAGAAGAGGACAGUGGAACUCCAUGUGUAGCGGUGAAAUGCGUAGAUAUAUGGAAGAACACCAGUGGCGAAGGCGGCUGUCUGGUCUGUAACUGACGCUGAGGCUCGAAAGCAUGGGUAGCGAACAGGAUUAGAUACCCUGGUAGUCCAUGCCGUAAACGAUGAAUGCUAGGUGUUGGAGGGUUUCCGCCCUUUCAGUGCCGCAGCUAACGCAUUAAGCA